GUUGCUAUACACAUUUGUUGCGUAGUGAAAGAGCUUCAUAGAUAACUUAAAGUGUUUUUGUGUAAAUCUAGGAUUUUAGGAACAAUUAAUUGUGAAUUCGCCUUCAAGAAAAGUCUUGAAAUCCGACAACAAUGGGUGCUGGCGGAGAUGCGAAGUGUGUCGUGUUUGGAAUAUUUUGGCUCAUCGUGCUCCUUCUCCUGGCGUGGCCCAUCGGGUUCCUGUUCGCCUGGCUGUACGUGCUGCUGCAGCCCUUCUGCAUCUGUAUCUCGAGCCUGAAGGACCUGUCCGCCACCCUCCUGAAGCUCGUCCAGCUGCCUCAGCUGUGCACAGAGAAGAUGAUGAGGGGGGAUGGUUGUUCGUAGAGAGACACAAGACUGGUUAACAAGUACAGUGUUAACAUGUGAAAUUGUUAAAUUAAGGCGUGGUUAUGAUCUGAGUAGGCCCUAAUUAUUAAUCAUUAAAAUAAUUGUUUAUUUAAAUUAAUUCUUAAAAACGUGUGAAAACAUUGUAUAAAUAAACCACACUUUCAAUCUUCUAAAUAUAAAAUAUUAAAAUUUAUAAUUGACGUACUUUUACAGGACACAUUUAAAGCACUAUGCUAAUUUUCUAUUUUUAAAAGUUUAGCUCUUUUAUUUGACGAUGUGACUGCAGAAGCUAAGACAUGACUAAAUGCCGAUAAAUAAACUGUGUGAGAAACUAGAUAACUCCAAACAUUAUGUUGUUAACAAUGAAAGAAAGUGAUGUACAAAGUGCGCAUGUAUGUGUUAGUAUUCCUAUAAGUGAUGUAAGCUAAUUAUUAUGUUUGAGUUUUUUAAUCCCAUAAGGUGUCAAGCUAUAAAUAUUUCUCUGAGAUAGGUAAUCAUAGGUCAGAUUGUGUUAUUUUAACUAAACUUUAAUUCAUUUUAUUCAUAAGAAUUUUAUUUAGUUAUUAUAAUAAAAGAUUUAUAUGGUCAUGACUGUAUUCAAAUAAAUGCGUUAAAUUUUUC